AUUGAACGCUGGCGGCAGGCCUAACACAUGCAAGUCGAGCGGAGCGGCGGACGGGUGAGUAAUGCCUAGGAAUCUGCCUGGUAGUGGGGGAUAACGUCCGGAAACGGGCGCUAAUACCGCAUACUAUCAGAUGAGCCUAGGUCGGCUUAGCUAGUGGGUGGGGUAAAGGCCUACCAAGGCGACGAUCCGUAACUGGUCUGAGAGUAUGAUCAGUCACACGGGAACUGAGAGACGGGCCAGGCUCAGACGGGAGGCAGCAGGGGGGAAUAUUGGACAAUGGGCGAAAGCCUGAUCCAGCCAUGCCGCGUGUGUGAAGAAGGUCUUGGGAUUGUAAAGCACUUUAAGUUGGGAGGCGGUACCAGCAGAAUAAGCACGGGAGAACUGCGUGCCAGCAGCCGCGGUAAUAC
rnacentral:rRNA from 1 species